GACGAACGCUGGCGGCGUGCUUAACACAUGCAAGUCGAGGGGGCAGUUGGGGCAACCUGGCUGUCACCGGCGAACGGGUGCGUAACACGUGAGCGACCUACCUCCUUGCGGGGGAUAGCCGGCCCAACGGCCGGGUAAUACCGCAUACGCUCAUUUCCGGGCAUCCGGGGGUGAGGAAACUUUUCGGGCAGGGAGAGGGGCUCGCGGCCUAUCAGCUAGUUGGCGGGGUAACGGCCCACCAAGGCAUCGACGGGUAGCUGGUCUGAGAGGAUGGCCAGCCACAUUGGGACUGAGAGACGGCCCAGACUCCUACGGGAGGCAGCAGUGGGGAAUCUUGCGCAAUGGCCGCAAGGCUGACGCAGCGACGCCGCGUGGGGGAGGAAGGGCUUCGGCUCGUAAA
rnacentral:rRNA from 1 species